rnacentral:lncRNA from 1 species
GCCUCUUCUCCAGCCCCUCUUCGGGAACGACCGACUCCUGGGACCGGUCUCCGGCUUUCGGUUAAAUUUUUUCCCCUCCCAUUAUUCUCCCACCUAAAACUUUGGGCUCUUCCCGCCUUCCUUCAAACUAGCAAUUUUCGGCUCUUCUCGCUUGCUUUGGGGGCGAGUUCCUGAAAGUCAUUUACCCUUGAGUUAAUUAAUCGCCUUUCUAGCCCCACCCGUUCAGCUUAUUCGCUAAUUCCUAUUCGCUCCGCUCAAUGUAUUUCGGCUACUUCCGCCUCCUCCCGGGAUCCCUUCCCUGACUUCGGCUCUUUCCGGACUCUCGCCUCGCCCCCCCCCAGGGGGGGGCUUCUCCCAUCCCGAAGCGCUUCGGCUAUUUCCGGCUCUCCCGGCCUUCCCUAGCCCCGCCCCCACGACCACCCUUGGUCCUUUAGGUGGGUCUCUGAUCCGCUCCGCGUUGCUGCAGUGACCUAGAUCUUCCCUCGGCUCUUUCCGGCUUUUUUCAGAGUCUCGUUAAUCUCAGCUGUGUUCGGCUCUUUCCGUGCCCUCUCCUCCGCCUCGCCCUUCCGCUUCGGCUCUUUUCGCCGACUUUCGGGCGGGCUGGCUCUGCCCUUCUCCACGUGACGCUCCUCCGGCCUCUCCGCUACCCCCUCCCUCCACGCCCUUCCUCCGGCUUCAGCCUCCGUGCUUGUCCCGGCUGUGCCGCCAUUUUGUGUGAAUUCCUGACCGCGGCGGGGGCCCGGCAGCUGGGGCAUCUAGGGCGGGCAGACAGUCGGCCCAUCUCCAUAGCCCGAUCCCUCUUCUCCCCGAUUUUUUUUUAACCAUCCCCCCUGCUCGCUCUCCUCUCCCCCCCUUUCCCUUCGCUUGCUCCGUCGCGCGCGGGCCCGCGCUAAUUACACCCAACCACCCACCAGUGUCCGUGUCCCCCGGGUCUCAGGCCUUGGGGGGCCGCGUGUGUGUGUGCGUGCGUGUGUGGCGGAAGGGGACCUCUCGUCCCGAUGAGGGUCCCGUGCCCGUGAGCGAGUGACCUCAGGGCCAGGCUGCGGAGAAAGCAGGCGGCGGGCGGCCUUGCCGGGGCCUAGGCCUCGCGGCCUACGUGGAAGUCGGCUCAGAGGUGACUCCGAAACCGAAAAAAAAAAUACUCGAUAUCGAUCUAUGUAUCUAUAUGCCCAGUUCCCAUCAGGAGGCCCCGGAGCGCUGAAGUGUGCCCCUCCCGCCACGCCCAAGCAGUCCUUUUUGGUGCAUUAACAUCCCCUCCCCCUCAAAGGAACGAUGGAGGCCGUGCCCGGGACCCC